rfam:Salmo salar isolate Sally breed double haploid chromosome ssa04, whole genome shotgun sequence.
UGUAUGCAAGUAUGACUUAAGUCGCUUUGGAUAAAAGCAUCUGCAAAAUGGCAUAUA